CCUACGGGGGGCUGCAGUAAGGAAUAUUGGUCAAUGGAGGAAACUCUGAACCAGCCAUCCCGCGUGAAGGAUGAAGGGGCUCUGCCUUGUAAACUUCUUUUGUCUGGGGCGAAAAAGCUCGAUUUAUCGAGAACUGACGGUACCAGAAGAAUAAGCACCGGCUAACUCCGUGCCAGCAGUCGCGGUAAUACGGAGGGUGCAGGCGUUAUCCGGAAUCACUGGGUUUAAGGGGUGCGUAUACGUCAGUGGAGAAAGGCUGUGGCGUAACGAUGGAAUUGCCAAUGAUACUGCAGAGCUUGAAUGAGGUUGAGGUUGGCGGAAUGUGACAUGUAGCGGUGAAAUGCAUAGAUAUGUCAUGGAACACCGAUUGCGAAGGCAGCUGACUGGACCUAUAUUGACGCUGAGGCACGAAAGCGUGGGGAGCGAACAGGAUUAGAUACCCGUGUAGUC
rnacentral:rRNA from 1 species